rnacentral:rRNA from 1 species
GUAGGUGGCAAGCGUUGUCCGGAAUUAUUGGGCGUAAAGCGCGCGCAGGUGGUUCUUUAAGUCUGAUGUGAAAGCCCCCGGCUCAACCGGGGAGGGUCAUUGGAAACUGGGGAACUUGAGUGCAGGAGAGGAAAGUGGAAUUCCACGUGUAGCGGUGAAAUGCGUAGAUAUGUGGAGGAACACCAGUGGCGAAGGCGACUUUCUGGCCUGUAACUGACACUGAGGCGCGAAAGCGUGGGGAGCAAACAGGGAUUAGAUACCCUGGUAGUCCACGCCGUAAACGAUGAGUGCUAAGUGUUGGGGGGAUUUCCGCCCCCUCAGUGCUGCAGCUAACGCAUUAAGCACUCCGCCUGGGAGUACGGUCGCAAGACUG